rnacentral:ncRNA from 1 species
UCUUGUCUCAAAGAUUAAGCCGUGCAAGUCUUAGUACACACAGCCGGUACAGUGAAACGUCAAAUGGGUCAUUAAAUCAGUUACGGUUCCUUUGAUUGCUCAAACGUUACUUGGAUGACUGCAGCAGUUAUAGAGCUAAUAAAUGUCUACGGGUGCUGACCUUUGGGGAUGCGGCACUUAUUCAGACCCAUGCAGGCGACUCUCGGGCACCACAAACACUUAUUCAGACCCAUGCAGGGUACUCUCAGGCACCACAAACACUUAUUCAGACCCAUGCAGGGUACUCUCGGGCACCACAAACACUUAUUCAUACCCAUGCAGGGUACUCUCGGGCACCACAAACACUUUUGGUGACUCUAACUUCGACUGGUGACGUCUAAUUUGAAUGUCUGCCCUAUCAACUUUCAAUGGUACUUUCUGUGCCUACCAUGGUGACAGGGAAUCCGGGUUAGAUUCCAGGGAGGGAGCCUAAGAAACAGCUACCACAUCCAGGGAAGGAAACAGGCGGGCAAAUGACCCACUCCGACUCGGAGAGGUAGUGACGAAAAAUAACAAUACAGGACUCGAGGCCCUUCAGUUGGAAUGUGUACAUUUUAAAUUCUUUAAUGAUCCAUUACUUAUGGGUAGA